rnacentral:lncRNA from 1 species
UGGAAGCAGCCUGUGCCAGUUCUCAUGUGUGUCUUUUAAACUGCACAGACUGAUCCUAAAGGUCGAAGGAAGGUGCGGGCCAGUGAGCGGCUUCCUGCUGCAACCAGCACCAGGCCGGGUGCGCGCUCUGCUGCAGUGGAGCGUGGCAAAGAAGUCUUGAAAGAAACAUGGAGAGACGUGAAAAAGGAAGAGAGAGUCUUGCAGCCAGCAGCGGAGGAAGCAAAACAGGAAUACAGUGAUUCUCCCUGGGAUUCUGAGACUGAUUCUGAAGGUGGAAGCAAAGUGUCGGCCGAUGUGCAGCUUCCUGCUGCAGACCAAAACAGAGUGGGUGUGAGCUCUGCUGCAGUGGAGCAUGGCAAAGCUGCAAGAGCAGAACAGAAGGAACAUUUUAUGUCCUCUUCUGAGAAUAAGCUUCCUACAUUACAGAGAGAAGAUCUUCAGCUAAAGGUUGAUUCUUCAACUCAAACGGAUUCUGAGCAGGACAAACAGCUCAAGGACCUGAAAGAACCUCUUAACAAGAAUGAAUAUUAUGCUGACUCAGGGAGGAAUGCCCAAAAGGAGAAGGUAAUAACAAUUUUGAGGAACAUGCAACGCAUCCUGGUUGAGUCUUUUGAACCUUCAGCUGCAGCUAUCCCCCUGCUGGAAGAACGCAUUCAAGGGUAA